rnacentral:rRNA from 1 species
AGCAAGUAGGUGGGUUUGUUAAUUAGAAGGGAAAACCUUUUGUUUCAACGAAGAAUUGCCUUUGAAAAUUCCAACCUUGAGUAUAGGAGGGGAGAGUGGAACUUCUGGUGGAGCGGUGAAAUGCGUAGAUAUCAGAAGGAACGCCGGCGGCGAAAGCGACUCUCUGGCCUAUUACUGACACUGAGGGGGCGAAAGCUAGGGGAGCAAACGGGUUUAAUACCCCCGGUA